UCCGUAGGGUGCGAUCGUUAAUCGGAAUUACUGGGCGUAAAGCGUGCGCAGGCGGUUCGCUAAGACAGAUGUGAAAUCCCCGGGCUCAACCUGGGAACUGCGUUUGUGACUGGCGGGCUGGAGUGCGGAAGAGGGAGGUGGAAUUCCACGUGUAGCAGUGAAAUGCGUAGAGAUGUGGAGGAACACCGAUGGCGAAGGCAGCCUCCUGGUCUAGCACUGACGCUCAUGCACGAAAGCGUGGGGAGCAAACAGG
rnacentral:rRNA from 1 species